rnacentral:rRNA from 1 species
CACGUAGGGUGCGAGCGUUGUCCGGAAUUAUCGGGCGUAAAGAGCUCGUAGGCGGUGUGUCGCGUCGGCCGUGAAAACCUGCAGCUUAACUGUGGGCUUGCGGUCGAUACGGGCAUCACUGGAGUUCGGCAGGGGAGACUGGAACUCCUGGUGUAGCGGUGAAAUGCGCAGAUAUCAGGAGGAACACCGGUGGCGAAGGCGGGUCUCUGGGCCGAUACUGACGCUGAGGAGCGAAAGCGUGGGGAGCGAACAGG